UAGAAGGGGUAUAAUCAUUUCUAAUAUUGCUGAAAAGCACCUCCUCCUCCCCCUUCCAUUGAUGGUCAGUAUUUGGUUGGUUCUUUUGAUAUGGUUCUAAGAAUUCAAAAGAUGUACAGAGGUUCUGGUUUUCCACCACACUACAUGAUGUGGUGGUUUUUCCCCGGGG